rnacentral:rRNA from 1 species
AGAUCCCUCCCUCUUGCGACUGUGAUGCCAUUAAUUUGGUGUCGCGGGGAAUCAGGACUGUUACUUUGAAAAAAUUAGAGUGUUUAAAGCAGGCUUUCGCUUGAAUACAUUAGCAUGGAAUAAUGAAAUAGGACGUUUGAUCCUAUUUUGUUGGUUUCUAGGAUUGACGUAAUGAUUAAUAGGGAUAGUUGGGGGGUUAUUAUUCUUUUGUCAGGGUGAAAUUCUUGGAUUUAUUGAAGACUAACUACUGCAAAGGCAUUUGCCAAGGAUGGGUUCAUUAAUCAAAACAAAUUUAAAGGGAUCGGAACAAUCACAUCCCUCUUAGUCUUAUCCUUAAACUAUGCCUACGAAGGAUCGGAUGA